GCCUGGGUUGCUCAGUUGGUUGAGCCUCCGACUUCGGCUCAGGUCAUGAUCUCACAGUCUGUGGGUUCGAGUCCCGCAUCAGGCU
rnacentral:tRNA from 1 species